CCUACGGGAGUCUGCAGUGAGGAAUAUUGGUCAAUGGACGAGAGUCUGAACCAGCCCAGUAGCGUGAAGGAUGACUGCCCUAUGGGUUGUAAACUUCUUUUAUAAAGGAAUAAAACGAGGCACGUGUGCCUUUUUGCAUGUACUUUAUGAAUAAGGAUCGGCUAACUCCGUGCCAGCAGCCGCGGUAAUACGGAGGAUCCGAGCGUUAUCCGGAUUUAUUGGGUUUAAAGGGAGCGUAGAUGGGUUGUUAAGUCAGUUGUGAAAGUUUGCGGCUCAACCGUAAAAUUGCAAUUGAUACUGGCAGUCGUGAGUACAGUUGAGGUAGGCGGAAUGCGUGGUGUAGCGGUGAAAUGCUUAGAUAUCACGAAGAACCCCGAUUGCGAAGGCAGCUUACUAAACUGUGACUGACAUUGAUGCUCGAAAGUGUGGGUAUCAAACAGGAUUAGAUACCCUAGUAGUC
rnacentral:rRNA from 1 species